AUGGAGGCGAGCUCGGGGCCUCGCCGGAGUUCCGUCCAGGAGCCAGAUGGCACGGGCGACGAAGCGGACCGCAUCAGCGCCCUCCCCGACGACGUGCUCCUCCUCGUCCUCGCCCGCCUCCCUUGCGCCGCCGCCGCCGCCCGCACCGGAGUGCUCUCCCGCCGGUGGCGCGGCCUCUGGGCCCGCCUCCGCCAGAUCGUCUUCCGCGACGUGCCCUUCCCCUCGAUAGAGGCGGCGCUCGGCCGCUUCCCUCCCCCGCCGCCCGCGGUUUUCCUCCUCAAGAUCCGCGUCCCCCAGAGGCAGCGGCGCAGCAGGGGCCUUCCCAACCCCAAGAAGCACCGGGCAGACAGCGCCGGCGUCAACUCGCUGCUCCGCGCCGCCGCGCGGCUCGAGCCGGAGAGUCUCGAACUCCGCCUCCCCGCCGGCCUAAUCGGCCGUUCCCGUAUUCCAUCGACCUGCCUCGCUUCGACGGCGCCGCCUCAAUCGCGCUGGACUUCGCCUCCCCAUUCUCCCUCCGGGUGCCGGCCGGCGCCGAGUUCCCCGCGCUCGAGGCGCUGUCCCUGA
rnacentral:rRNA from 1 species